rnacentral:rRNA from 1 species
UACGUAGGGUGCAGGCGUUAAUCGGAAUUACUGGGCGUAAAGCGUGCGCAGGCGGUUUGCUAAGACAGGUGUGAAAUCCCCGGGCUUAACCUGGGAACUGCGCUUGUUACUGGCAAGCUGGAGUGUGGCAGAGGGGGGUGGAAUUCCGACGUGUAGCAGUGAAAUGCGUAGAGAGUGUGGAGGAACACCGAUGGCGAAGGCAGCCCCCUGGGCUAACACUGACGCUCAUGCACGAAAGCGUGGGGAGCAAACAGG